rnacentral:rRNA from 1 species
ACACCUACGGGUGGCAGCAGUGAGGAAUAUUGGUCAAUGGGCGAGAGCCUGAACCAGCCAUUCCGCGUGAAGGAAGAAGGCCUUAUGGGUUGUAAACUUCUUUUCUAUCAGAAGAAUAAGCCAGACGGGUUUUGGUGAUGCCGGUAUGAUAGGAAUAAGCAUCGGCUAACUCCGUGCCAGCAGCCGCGGUAAUACGGAGGAUGCAAGCGUUAUCCGGAUUUAUUGGGUUUAAAGGGUGCGCAGGCGGUAUAAUAAGUCAGUGGUGAAAGUCUGCCGCUUAACGGUAGGAUUGCCAUUGAUACUGUUAGACUUGAGUAUGGAUGAGGUAGGUGGAAUGUGUAGUGUAGCGGUGAAAUGCAUAGAUAUUACACAGAACGUCGAUUGCGAAGGCAGCUUACUAAUCCAUUACUGACGCUGAGGCACGAAAGCGUGGGGAUCAAACAGGAUUAGAUACCCUGGUAGUCCACGCUGUAAACGAUGAUCACUCGCUGUUUGCGAUAUACAGCAAGCGGCUGAGCGAAAGCAAUAAGUGAUCCAC